AUACUUAUUAGGACCGGUAACGUUGUUCUCCUCCUAGCGCCUUUGUACGUUACACGAGAAAAACAAACAGUCUAGUGGCAUAAGUGUAUGGAUUUUAUUUUUCUACCAUGAGGCAAUCGUAGAAAUCGAAAGAACUGUUUCAACUUCGUCCGAGUUUCUUAUUUUUGAGAUGUACAGUUGUGAAUUGGUCUACAAGUUUCAUUCACGUACUCUGCCUACUGGAAACUUAAAUUCCUUACCUUGUUUACUCAGUGUGCGCUCUUUCCUCCAGGAUUUUCACACUUCCACAUUUACUACCGUAUGAUUUGAUACAUGAGUAGACAUUGUGGUAAGAAAGAAUGCAACACUGCACAGUAUGCCUCAGUUAAACAGGUAGUAGGCUUCACUUGGCAAAUUACAUUCUGUUUUGUUAUUUUAAUUUCUGAAAUAAGCUCGUCUUGUUCUCAAUUAAUGUUUGACAGCAAUUGUUGUCACAGUACCUUAAAGUAACCAAUUUCUUUUACUAUCUUUAUUUGAAGCAUAUUUGCUUUCUAUUUAGUAGGUAGUGUAGCUUUCAGCAAUUGGUGUAAAGAAAAAAAAAAACACUUGUAAUAUUAUCUUUUAGUUUUUACUGUUACAAAGUUUGUGUGGAUCGGUCAUGGAUUCCAUAAUCUGUAGAAAGCCAACUUUUUGAUUUUUAGUAAGCAAUUUUUAUUUUGACAUUUUUGUAGAAAUAGCUAGCCUUGUACCUGUAGGAAAUUGGCAAGAUAAGUUUUCAAUGUUAUCUAUUCUACCUUACUAUGUAAAAUAACACACAAUAAAACUGAUACAUUUAUAAGUGUGGUGUAUUAUCCUUUCUUAGGCAGAGCCAAAGUUGU